CACCAGCCCCUCGAGUGGUGGGGAUGAUUAUUUGGCCUAAAGCGUCCGUAGCCGGCCGGGUAAGUUUCCCGUUAAAUCCAAUGUCUCAAGCAUUGGACUGCGGGAAAUACUGCCUGGCUAGAGAGUGGGAGAGGUGUACGGUAUUCUGGGGGUAGGGGCGAAAUCCUUUGAUCCCCGGAGGACCACCAGUGGCGAAGGCUGUACACUAGAACACGUCUGACGGUCAGGGACGAAAGCUGGGGUAGCGAACCGGAUUAGAUACCCGGGUAGUCCCAGCUGUAAACGAUGCAUGCUAGGUGUUGGGUUGGCCACGAGCCACCCCAGUGCCGCAGGGAAGCCGUCAAGCAUGCCGCCUGGGAAGUACGAUCGCAAGAUUGAAACUUAAAGGAAUUGGCGGGGAGCACCACCAGGCGUGAAGCCUGCGGUUU
rnacentral:rRNA from 1 species